UACGUAGGGUGCGAGCGUUGUCCGGAAUUACUGGGCGUAAAGAGCUCGUAGGUGGUUUGUCGCGUUGUUCGUGAAAACUCACAGCUUAACUGUGGGCGUGCGGGCGAUACGGGCAGACUGGAGUACUGCAGGGGAGACUGGAAUUCCUGGUGUAGCGGUGGAAUGCGCAGAUAUCAGGAGGAACACCGGUGGCGAAGGCGGAUCUCUGGGCCUUACCUGACGCUGAGGCGCGAAAGCGUGGGGAGCGAACCGG
rnacentral:rRNA from 1 species